GGGGUGCUCAUUUAUUUAUUCUAUUGUAUUUGAACAAUUCUUCACUUAUUAAUAAAUGUCAUAAUCAUAUUACUUUGUCAUUAUCAUAUUGUGACACAUAACAAGUAAUAGUUGAAAUCUAACAAUUUAUUUCCCAAGUCCGUUAUUUUUAACAUAUUACAUAAAUACCAAAAUUUGAAACUCUCGUAUUUACAAUCCCAUAACAGUUCAAUAUGUUGCUUACAUAGUUUUAAAGGCAAUUACGUUUUUUAUUUUUAUAAUGACUCGUACUUUUACUUUAUGCCUUAUAAGUAUCGAUCCCCAUAUCUUAAACUUCAACUCCAUUAAAUAGAUCAUUCUUUUAGAAAUAAAAAGUUACUCAUUUUUUGAAGCAUGGCCGAAAUAAACAUCUUUCCAAUUGUGGUAGUUUUGUUUUUGGUGAGUAGCACAUUUCCAACAUUGGAGGCGACAGAUUACAAGGUUUUGGCUGAGUGCAAAAAACAUUUCUCCAUAAAGUAUGCAUGGGAUGCAUACAACUACAUUUUCUACGGACGACCGAUUAGUGAAAAAAGUUGUCGGGCUAUUGUGGCGGUGGGAAAAAAAUGUCAUGAUACUUUUUUGAGCUGGACUCUUGAGGGGAGCUCUGAAAUCAGAAGAUCUAAGACUUUGGCAAGGGGUAAACAACUUUGGAAUCAUUGUGUUCUAACUACAGUCGCACCUGCUUCUUCCUAUUAGAAGAUGAACUAUAUUGCUCCCUAGCUAAAUAUGUGUGGAAUAUUUCAUGAGUUUGAAUAAAUUUUCAAUGCAUUAAAAUGACUUCACGGUAUUACUUUAACUUCUAAUGCAUUAAUAUUUUUGUUGCUAAAAUGAACAAUAAUAAAUAUUAAAACAACUUCCUUGCCAAUUUUGAAAAAUUCGAGCAAUAUUACCCCAAAUAGAUCAAUUUAUACUUUUUAACCCUUAUCCAGAUUUCAUAUGCCAUUAUUGCAAUAACAAUCACUACUAAUGAGAUUGUGACCAUUUUUGUGACUAUCAUUAUAGUCUUCUUAGCUAUUUGUAAAUCUACGUUGAAAAGAGGAAACAUCUAUCGACCAAAAUUCUUGCAAAACGACAAUGAAUUAUAUAAAAGCGCAAGUUUGAUCAUUCAUGACUUUGACUUUAUAUUAUAGAGAUAAUAUACUAUGAAUAAGUUGUUUAGGUUAAUAUUUGAACUUUGGGCUGAAGGAGGAGAAGCCCAAAAAGAAGCCCAUAAGACAUAACCCUCCCCGAAGGCCCAACAUCGAAUCCAUUCGCCCAGCCCAAAGCAAGAUGAUGAUUCCACAUUAAAUGCAAAGGCUAGUUGCUUGAAAGAAGUGACACUUGAUGGAAAUCAACCCACUUUCAACCCAAAAGCACUUUCUGAAUGGCAGAGUACGUAAAUUACUAAUUAGUCACUAUCCCUUAGUUGCUUUCUGGUAGGAGCCAAGUUGCAAGUAGUCAGGCGAAUUUGGCUAUAAAAGGAGGAAGAAGGCCUAGAGACAAAGACACUCAACCAAUCAAACAAACAAAUACACAAACUCUGCUCAAGCCAGAUUUGCAUACGAAGCUGUAGUCAGCCCCCAACCUUAAUCCUUUUCAGGAUUAGCCCUCAUAAAAGCCAUAUUUUGUCUAGUUUAAUAGCUCUGCUACUCUUUCAACCAUAGUAGUAUCGAUUCUCUUAUGUUCACCCUGCUCACCAUUCACUCCCUUUUCUCCCCAAACCUUUGUACUUACAAAGAAGUGACGUUGUACAAGAUUCAACCUUGCCUGACAAGGUUAAAUCUAGCCUGACUCCCUUUGUUUUGUUCCUUACUUAAUAGAUCUAGCAUUAUCAUGUAUCCUUCGAUAUAUAUCCAAGUUAUUUCCAGUCUUUUAGUGGUUCAAAGCGUAUCAUUUGGGCAUUACUAUUGAAAUAAAACCAUUCAGCUAGAUCUGGAUAUUCGCUUUUUAAAGCAUACAAGAUGAACAAAAGUCAUUGGCCUUAAGGCAUAAAAAAGAACUUAAUGUAGACUUAACCCAUCUACGACAAUCCUUUGAUAACAAGAAGUCAAAGUAACUUGGGGCGCAAGUAAUCGGCUUAAAUACACUUGUUUUACAUCUGUUAUACGGAGAUGGCAAUGACACGCCUAAGCACUUAAAGUUAGUUUUGAUUGUGAGCCUCCAAGCCUAUACCUAAGGCUCUGCAAAGUCACCUUUUCAAAGCUAACUUUGUUCUCCUCUUACAGCAUUAUAACG
rnacentral:lncRNA from 1 species